UAGUGAGUUUGAUCCUGGCUCAGAAUGAACGUUGGCGGCGUGGAUUAGGCAUGCAAGUCGUACGCUCCGCAAGGGGCGUGGCGCAAGGGUGAGUAAGGCGACGGCAACCAACCCCGGGGUCGGGCAUAGCCGCGGGAAACCGCGGGUAAUUCCCGGCGACGUCGGGACGGGACCUCCCGUCCGGACCACAGGUGCGAUUCCGCCCUGGGACGGGCCGUCGUGGUAUCAGCUAGUUGGUGGGGUAACGGCUCACCAAGGCGAUGACGCCUACCGGGCGUGCGAGCGUGGCCCGGCACACUGGGACUGAGACACUGCCCAGACACCUACGGGU
rnacentral:rRNA from 1 species